CAAGGAAUUUUCCGCAAUGGGCGCAAGCCUGACGGAGCAACGCCGCGUGCGGGAUGACGCUUUUCGGAGUGUAAACCGCUGUUCGUGGGGACGAAGCACUGACGGUACCCACGGAGGAAGGCCCGGCUAACUACGUGCCAGCAGCCGCGGUAAUACGUAGGGGUCGAGCGUUGUCCGGAGUUACUGGGCGUAAAGCGCGUGCAGGUGGCUCAUUACGCCCGGCGUGAAAGCCCCCGGCUCAACCGGGGAGGGUCGUCGGGGACGGAUGGGCUUGAGGGUCGCAGGGGCUGGUGGAAUUCCCGGUGUAGUGGUGAAAUGCGUAGAGAUCGGGAGGAACACCCGUGGCGAAGGCGGCCAGCUGGGCGACACCUGACACUGAGACGCGAAGGCGUGGGGAGCGAACGGGAUUAGAUACCCGGUAGUCCACGCAGUAAACGAUGCCGACUAGGCGUGGGGGGACUUGGACCCUUCCGUGCCGAAGCUAACGCAUGAAGUCGGCCGCCUGGGGAGUACGGCGCAAGGCUAAAACUC
rnacentral:rRNA from 1 species